rnacentral:misc_RNA from 1 species
ACUCUUAUUUUUUUUAUGCUUUUCAAACUAAAAUGAAUCCUGGCUCUUCGGUGAUAAUGAAUAGGAAAAUGUAAAAGUAGCAACUGGAAAUGAAUAAACUAGUCUGUACUGGGAAAAAACUGUUUCUGUUAUCAAAAACAUUUUUGCAAUAUAAAAUAUGGCGAGACCAGUGGGAGCGUUAUAAGUGCCAAUCGAGAAUAUUGCGUUUUGCAAAAUGUUGAUGAAGGUCUAUCCUCAAAGAAAUAAAAUCAGCCUUCUUGCUUGUGAAGUUAACUCAGACAACUAUUGAAACCAGAGUUUCCUUAGAUCAUAAUCAAGAAGUUUACUGUUCUACUCAAGUAUGUUGAGAUUAUAAAAUCAAGCUCAUUGUGACCCUAUAAAUUAAACAUUAACUUUGCUCAAUUCCUUGCAAUUAGUAACUUGAAUAUGAAAAUUCUGAAUAAUGGAAAUUAUUAUAUUUUCUUUUACAUAAAAUUUGGUAUUUCUGAAAAUCAUGACUAUUUAUAUUUUGUUACUUUUGGAAAAUGUUAAGCAAUGAAAUAUUAGUUCAGCAUUAAUUAGCUAUUUUUGUUCAUGGCUUAAAACUAUUGUACUUAUUGAAAUAACUAAAAUUCAUUUGCGACUGGUGUGAGCUGAAAGAAAAUUUAAAAAAAAGCUUAAUAUGUCAAUGUUGUGAUGAUUCCUUUUCUAAUCAAAGGAAUCUAACAAAAACAUCUUCUAACUUUUAAAAAUCAUUCUAUUAAAAUUGAUCAUCAAUCUAGAAUCAUGUGUGAUAAAAAAUUUAAAAAUAAACUUUCUUUAAUAGAUCAUAGUAUUGUUCACAGUGAAAAAAAGUAUUUCUUGUGCAAUGUAUGUAACAAAAGUUUUUCAUGCAAGAUUACUUUAUUUAAUCAUAGUAUUAUUCAUAGUGGUAUAAAACCUUAUUCUUGUAAUGUGUGUAAUAAGAGCUUUACUCAAAAAUCUCAUUUAAAUCGUCAUAGUUUCUUUCAUACUAAUAAAAAUCAAUUUGUUUGUAAUUUAUGUAAAAAAACUUUUAGAACAAACCUUUCUUUAACGGACCAUAUUGCUCUUCAUACCGGUGAGAAGCCUUUUGUUUGUGAUAUAUGUGAUAAAAGUUUUAUACGAAAAGAGAGGCUAGCUAAGCAUAGCCUUCUUCACUCAAAUAAUAGUAAAUCCUAUUCUUGUGAUGUAUGUAAUAGGAGGUUUUCAUCAACAUCUGGUUUAAAUUCCCACUAUAUUGUUCACACUGGUGAAAAACCAUAUUCAUGUUGUAUAUGCAAUAAGAGUUAUACUUAUAAAAGUAAUUUAACUCGCCACUUUCUUAUUCAUGCUGGUGAAAAAUCUUAUUCUUGUAGCACAUGUGAUAAGAGUUUUAGAAAAAAAGGUAUUUUGACUCGUCAUUCUUAUAUUCAUACUAGAGAAAAAUCUCAUUAUUGUAGUUUAUGUAAUAAAGGGUUUUCAAAGAAAAAGUAUGUGCUAAGUCACUUAAAAGUAUGCACUAGUCUUAUUCAAGCUGUUGUUAAAGUAAAAAGAGUGUCUUUAUCAUAAAACAUCAUAAGAAGACUACAAGGGAAAAUAAUUGUAUGUAAUGUGUGGGAAGACUUAAAAGCUUAACUAAA